rnacentral:sRNA from 1 species
CAGGGUUUGUCCAGCAGAGGGGCACUGCAUGUCUCAUCAGGAUGGUUCUGUGCAUUGCUACCGAUGACUCCCACUCCCUGAGCCGCCUGAGCCUAAAGUUUGGAGUGUCACUGAAAUCCUGCAGACACCUGCUUGAAAAUGCGAAGAAGAGCCACGUGGAGGUGGUGGGUGUGAGUUUUCACAUUGGCAGUGGCUGUCCUGACCCUCAGGCCUACGCUCAGUCCAUCGCAGAUGCCCGGCUCGUGUUUGAAAUGGGCACUGAGCUGGGUCACAAGAUGCACAUUCUGGACCUUGGUGGCGGCUUCCCUGGCACAGAAGGGACUAAAGUGAGAUUUGAAGAG